GCGGCGGACGGGUGAGUAACACGUGGGUAACCUGCCUGUAAGACUGGGAUAACUCCGGGAAACCGGGGCUAAUACCGGAUGGUUGUUUGAACCGCAUGGUUCAAACAUAAAAGGUGGCUUCGGCUACCACUUACAGAUGGACCCGCGGCGCAUUAGCUAGUUGGUGAGGUAACGGCUCACCAAGGCAACGAUGCGUAGCCGACCUGAGAGGGUGAUCGGCCACACUGGGACUGAGACACGGCCCAGACUCCUACGGGAGGCAGCAGUAGGGAAUCUUCCGCAAUGGACGAAAGUCUGACGGAGCAACGCCGCGUGAGUGAUGAAGGUUUUCGGAUCGUAAAGCUCUGUUGUUAGGGAAGAACAAGUACCGUUCGAAUAGGGCGGUACCUUGACGGUACCUAACCAGAAAGCCACGGCUAACUACGUGCCAGCAGCCGCGGUAAUAC
rnacentral:rRNA from 5 species